UUAAUUGAAACCAAAAAGAGGUAUAUUACUGUUAAUAAUAUCAUUGAAGCCUUCUUCCAAUUAAG
rnacentral:tRNA from 1 species